ACCCGCUAACCCACAAAGUACCCGAUGAGUUUUUUUUUUCCCAAUUUAGCGGGUCGGGUACCCGACCUGCCAAAAUAUAAUAUUCACAGGUCGGGUAAUGGGCCGCGUUCUAAGUGUAGCGGGUACCCGUUAAAUACCCUUUUUUUUGUUUUUUUCCCUCUUCUCUCUCCUCUCUCCUCUCCCAUCUCUCAAACACUCACUCUCAAAGUACAAAAUAGACUCGCACUUCUCAGUCGAAAAGAGGGGUUCUAAACACUCGCAAAUGCCCAUAGAGUGGUGCUGCCCCAGUAAGAAGUUUGUAAGGUGCUGCCAUUGAAUUUGCUUCAUUAAUAGGUUUGCGGAUUCGACUUUGGCGACACCACCUUCCUCACUCCAAGCGAGCACUGCCCUCACCCUCAGGCAACCACUGCACGCACCGCAAAUCACUUCGUUAGCUGCGUCAUCAGGGAUUAAAGACUUGGUUUCAAUUUGGAGCAAUCAACAAUUAUCAUUGAUGAGAGUCAUGAGACAAUUGAAGCUUCAACUCCUCCAUUUGAUUUGUGGCUUUGAGAUAUUAUUUGGAAUUUGGACUUUGUAAUUUAUUUGGUUGUUUUGUUGUUUUAAUUUGAUGUAAACUCUCUGAUUUAACUUUGUAGCAGGUUUUUUGUUUUUUUUUUUUAUUAAAACACAGCAAAACAAACACAUCAGUUUUACGGUUAAAAUGGGUACCCGAUAAGCGGGUACCCGCUUUUACCGGGUCGGGUAAUGGGCCGCUUAAAUUACUACCCGCACUUUGGGGUACCCAAAAACCCAGGUACCCGGUUAUGAACACCCCUAGUACCAAUUUUUUUGCCAAAAAUAGCUAAUCUUGCUCUGUAAAAAUGGUGAAGAACAAUCCAAAACGGGAAAGCUAGGAAAAAGGGAAAAGCAAGGAAAAAGGGAAAAGCAAGGCCCAUAUAUUUUUCAUUCAAGCGCAUAACUAGGUGGAGGAAUUGAACAGCCCUUCAUGGAUGUAAUGCAAGUUUGUAUUCCUUGUUCCUCAAUGGUGAAUGAAAAACUAUAGUUUUGUUCUGGCCAGUUCAAUUUAUAGUCUGCCAACAAUGAAAAUUGGACAUAGUUUUGUUCUGGCCACUCUCUUUUGAGGUAAAUCAAGAAGGUGGAAUUAGCUAUGUAAACUCUGAACAUCAGGCUAAUAAUCUGCUUGGGGUCUGAUACUCUGAAAAUCUGAAAAUUUGUUUGUCAUCAAUAAUGUUUGUCAACUUGUUGUCUUGUGUGUUCUUUGUAGGAAGCAAGAUCUAGAUGGCAGAAUAUGAAAAACGUAGACAAGCAAGGAUAGAACAAAAUAGAAGCAAAAUGAAGGAUUUGGGGGUUACAUCCAUGGCUUAUGAAAUGAAAGAGUCGAUGAAGGGCUCUAAAUAAACGAAAAAGCACUAACUCUUAAUAUUGCGUUAUUUCAUUUUUGUUCUAGAUGUUUGAUAUAUGAUGCUUUCACAAAUAGGAUCAAAGGGAUCAAGAUGAAGAAUUGGGAUAACAAGUGAAGAUGCUACAAGAAGCACUUACUGUUACUGCUGUUUGGAUGCUUUUACUGCUGGUGCUGUUUUUUGCUGCUGCUGCCGCCGCUGCUGUUUUUUGCUGUUACUGUUGUCUGUUGCUGCCCCCUGCUGUUGCUUGCUGCCCCCUACUGCUACUUGCCGCCACUGCUGCUGCUGUCUGCCGCCACUACUGUCUGCUAUUUCUGUUUGCUGCUACGUAAUGCUGUUUGCUGGUUUGUUACAGCUGCUGCCGUUCUGCUAGCUAGCUGCUACCGCUAUUUGCUGUUAUUAAUGUUGUUUACUGCUAUCGCUGACUGUUUUUUAGAAUUUGGAAGUUUUCUUAUUUCCUCACUUUUUGCAAGCCAGAGAUCGUAGUUGCUUUUCAUUCUGUUUGGAUUAUUACGAAGUAUAUUGUUUGGCCAAACAUUAAAAUUGGUGUUUAUGAAUUUUCUUAUAAGACUUAUGAAAUUAUUUCAAUCCAAA